rnacentral:rRNA from 1 species
CCUGAGAAACCUAAAAGAUCGAAUGAGGAGAUUCAUCGCCAGCUUAUUUUGUAUAUAUACAAGUUAUGAUAUAAGUUACUCUUGAGUAUUUCUUUGUACAUACUAGUAUAUUUAUUAACAAGAUAUUGUCGGCGUGCACUUCUCCUCUAGUAGGACAUCGUGACCCGUUUGGUGUCGAUCUAUGACCAAAGGUGUUAGACUUUAAUAUUAUUUUAUAAUAUUUAAAGACCCUUUGUGUUUUUUUUUUCUGAUCGUCUGCCUAGCGGUAUUCAUACGGUAUUUAGCCGCAUUAUAUAUGCGUUCAUAACCGUCACAAGCUAGAUUAAUUUUUAGUAGUAUGGAUUUUAAAUGCCAUCACUUGAAUUAAUCAGUUGUUGGUUGUACGGAAUUCUAGAACUGGCUAUAAAAAUAUAUAUAUACCGGUCAACGAUGCUAUUGCUUUAGGUACUUUCAGGACCCGUCUUGAAACACGGACCAAGGAGUCUAACAUGUACGCAAGUCAUUGGGAUUUAUAAAAAAAAUUAAACCUAACGGCGUAAUGAAAGU